ensembl:lncRNA
UUUUUAUUUAGCAAUGUCUUCAUCGUAGGGGCUGUUUAUUUUUUCCCUUGGAAAAGCCAUAUCCGUUAUCUUCCUUCCGCUACAAAUCCCAUCCGAGCAGAUAAAAGCUCCUCACAGCUCCUGGGGCUGUGUCCACCCCCAAGCCCUGCUCACCUGCAUCCACUGAGGGGGGAGAUGGGGAGGAAGCCAGUCCUGGCAGAGUGCUGAACACGCUGUGGGUCCAGGUGAGCUCUCUCCCAGUGGGAGCAUCCAAUGAAGGCUGCAGCAAAGAGUGAGUGGAAGAGCAGAGCCAGGAGCUGCACGGGCGCAGCAGGUAUGGAGAGGGGUGCUGGGUGUCAGCCAGGAGGGGAGGAAAUGACAAAUAAAAUCAUGUAAGAUCUCCUAUGAGCUCUGCAUGACGUCUCUGGGACAGGAGCCCACUGCUGGAUUUUCCUGGGAGGAGACCCUGCUGCUGCCUUGCUCCAUCCCACUGGGGGGAGAGGAGCCAAGGGGUUGGGCAGAGAUUUCUCAAUCCCAGUGAAAGUCUUAAGGUCACUUUUUGAGUCCCUGCUGCUGCAUCCCGCUGCACGUGGAACGUGUUUAGGUUGCAGCUCUGUUACCAGCAUGAAACCCAACCAGAUUUCAGCAGGAUGGUGCUAAGCCUCAGCCAGACAUCAGCUUUCCCCCCUUCACCUAUAUACCCGCUGCAAACUCAUUGAGCACCUAUUUCUGGUGCCAUUCAUUUAACCAAAGAGCAAACCAAUUCACCUGGUGGAUGAAACAUUCUAAGGAUGCAGACCCUCCUUUCCCCCUUCUUUUGCUCCAUGCUGGGCUUUGCAAAACCGUUUGCUGUGACCGAACGCAACACAGCUGUUUCUCACUACGGAAUUCUUUGGAGGUGGAUUAUUUGUCACUCCUCCAGCUUAAUAAUAAUAAUCCAUUAAUGCAUUUUUUUGCCAUCCUUUGGGGGAGGAAAAUGCUCCCAUGUGGUUUUAUGGCGGCGGUGCUUUUCCAUGCAUGCACACAGAGCUCCAUCUCACCCAAACAGCUCCCGCGGCGCUGAAUAUGAAGUCUUAAAAUAUGACAGCCUGGGUCAGGAGUGUCUUAAAACCACUGCAUAACAG